GGCGGACGGGUGAGUAAUGCCUAGGAAUCUGCCUGAUAGUGGGGGACAACGUUUCGAAAGGAACGCUAAUACCGCAUACGUCCUACGGGAGAAAGCAGGGGACCUUCGGGCCUUGCGCUAUCAGAUGAGCCUAGGUCGGAUUAGCUAGUUGGUGAGGUAACGGCUCACCAAGGCGACGAUCCGUAACUGGUCUGAGAGGAUGAUCAGUCACACUGGAACUGAGACACGGUCCAGACUCCUACGGGAGGCAGCAGUGGGGAAUAUUGGACAAUGGGCGAAAGCCUGAUCCAGCCAUGCCGCGUGUGUGAAGAAGGUCUUCGGAUUGUAAAGCACUUUAAGUUGGGAGGAAGGGCAUUAACCUAAUACGUUAGUGUUUUGACGUUACCGACAGAAUAAGCACCGGCUAACUUCGUGCCAGCAGCCGCGGUAAUACGAAGGGUGCAAGCGUUAAUCGGAAUUACUGGGCGUAAAGCGCGCGUAGGUGGUUUGUUAAGUUGAAUGUGAAAGCCCCGGGCUCAACCUGGGAACUGCAUCCAAAACUGGCAAGCUAGAGUAUGGCAGAGGGUGGUGGAAUUUCCUGUGUAGCGGUGAAAUGCGUAGAUAUAGGAAGGAACACCAGUGGCGAAGGCGACCACCUGGGCUAAUACUGACACUGAGGUGCGAAAGCGUGGGGAGCAAACAGGAUUAGAUACCCUGGUAGUCCACGCCGUAAACGAUGUCGACUAGCCNUUGGGAUCCUUGAGAUCUUAGUGGCGCAGCUAACGCAUUAAGUCGACCGCCUGGGGAGU
rnacentral:rRNA from 1 species